GGGGAUGUACUGGUUUCGACAGCACCGAUCCCGGGCGGUAAGCACGUCGGGCUCCUGGAGGGCCGGCCCGUCAAACUGGCUCUUCAAAAAUUAGUUGCUGAUAACAACUACGCACUCGCUGCCUAAUCGACCAAGUCGCUUAGCUUAAUCCGAGCCGCCAAGGAUGCGGCUCCGACGAGUAUCCCGCGGACUUUAGGCCUUCUCUGUUCCGACUUCGGGGUAUCAUUCAAGAAGGAUGCGCCAGUGGAUUCCUUUAAAGCUGGCAAAGAUUCAGAGGAUAAGCUUCGGAGAGCCCGCCUUCCGGCAUUCCGUUUCCGACAAUCAAAGGAUGGAUAAGCGUGUAGAAAGCUUCCUGGUACGGUGUUUGGACGGCGGUUCGACUCCGCCCAUCUCCACGA
rnacentral:tmRNA from 1 species